rnacentral:snoRNA from 1 species
AAUCCAUGCAUCGGACAUCUCUAAGUUAACUUCUUAAAUCAUUCCCAAACUUCAUAUAAUGUUUCAUCCUCUAUUUUCCAAAAAGAUGUUAUGUCAUUUCUAAGUUU